rnacentral:rRNA from 1 species
CGGCGAGUGGCGAACGGGUGAGUAAUACAUCGGAACGUACCCUGUUGUGGGGGAUAACUAGUCGAAAGAUUAGCUAAUACCGCAUACGACCUGAGGGUGAAAGUGGGGGACCGCAAGGCCUCACGCAGCAGGAGCGGCCGAUGUCUGAUUAGCUAGUUGGUGGGGUAAAGGCCCACCAAGGCGACGAUCAGUAGCUGGUCUGAGAGGACGAUCAGCCACACUGGGACUGAGACACGGCCCAGACUCCUACGGGAGGCAGCAGUGGGGAAUUUUGGACAAUGGGGGCAACCCUGAUCCAGCAAUGCCGCGUGUGUGAAGAAGGCCUUCGGGUUGUAAAGCACUUUUGUCCGGAAAGAAAUCGCGCUGGUUAAUACCUGGCGUGGAUGACGGUACCGGAAGAAUAAGCACCGGCUAACUACGUGCCAGCAGCCGCGGUAAUACGUAGGGUGCGAGCGUUAAUCGGAAUUACUGGGCGUAAAGCGUGCGCAGGCGGUUUUGUAAGACAGGCGUGAAAUCCCCGGGCUUAACCUGGGAAUUGCGCUUGUGACUGCAAGGCUAGAGUGCGUCAGAGGGGGGUAGAAUUCCACGUGUAGCAGUGAAAUGCGUAGAGAUGUGGAGGAAUACCGAUGGCGAAGGCAGCCCCCUGGGACGUGACUGACGCUCAUGCACGAAAGCGUGGGGAGCAAACAGGAUUAGAUAC